rnacentral:rRNA from 1 species
GACGUAGGGCGCGAGCGUUGUCCGGAUUUAUUGGGCGUAAAGAGCUCGUAGGCGGUGUGUCGCGUCGGCCGUGAAAACCUGCAGCUUAACUGUGGGCGUGCGGUCGAUACGGGCAUCACUGGAGUUCGGCAGGGGAGACUGGAAUUCCUGGUGUAGCGGUGAAAUGGCGCAGAGUAUCAGGAGGAACACCGGUGGCGGAAGGCGGGGUCUCUGGGCCGAUACUUGACGCUGAGGAGCGAAAGCGUGGGGAGCGAACGG